UGGCUGUUGUGAUGAGGAGGAUGAAGAACGCAGGCAGAGCUCAGGUCCCUGCUGAGAACAAACCUCCAGGAUGAUAGUUGAUCCCCUACCUGCAUACCUCCCAUCAUGUUUCUUCAUCUUUCCCCAUGAAUACUGAUUUCUGGAAAUUUCUCUGGGGCUGGGCUGUUUGCUGAGAUCCUGAGAUAGUGCAGACAAGAGCCCAUGGGGGAGCUCAGCCAACCCAUAUGUUGUAUAGGACUGUCCUCUGAUAGAUGCCAUCUUUCCAAGAGGCCUGCUUGCCUAGGAUCAUCACAGGGAAAGUACCCAGGGCUCUGCCGGCUCGCUGAGUUUGAAAAGCCACACCUGAGGAGGAACGAAAAUGAGACACUGGCCAGGUAGUCAGCCUGUUUGUUUCCUGUUUCCUCAUUACACCUGUUCUCAGGGCUGUGCGUGAGUCUGGUGCUGUUAUUCUCUGUCCUCAGUGUCUGACGGCAGCAGUUUCUCCUGUCAUUAUACCCCAGGGCCAAGGAAGCCCUGCGGUCAAGUCUCUGUAGCAUCAAGAAAAUUUUUGG